ACUAAUGAAUAUUUAAUGUCAAAUAAAACUAAUUAAAUUGUUCUCCUACUCUCACAACUAAAUGAACAAGCCUAAGGUGACUCGAAGCGGCUUUAAAUUUCGCGGUGACUACUUCUCCAAGAACCCCCUUGCCGACUAAUCCGCAAUACCUUUUGGUAAUAAUGACCACUGAUUAGGUCGGCCGAACCCUUGUAGGAAGCGCUUUCUACCGGUCGCACCCUGUAUAAUAUAAAUUAAGUGACAGUAGUUCGGAUAGGCUGUAAUUUGGAACUACAGUAGGUAAUUGAGUCGGGAGAAACAACCCCGAUGUUAGAAUAUGGGCAACAAUAAACUAAUCGGGAUAUGCGAUUAUGCCAGCGUUAAGGUGUUUUCGUUCUUUGUGAUUCUCAGAGCGUCUUUGUGCGUCAGCAAUAGCUGGGUUGACGGUACGACGAAUCACCUUUACAUACAAGUAAGUGACAACAACAUUUGUUACACAAAUAGUGGCUCUGACUCCCAAACUUUUAUAUUUUAUAAUACUACCAACUACACAAUUCAUUGGCAGUGGCUCGUACCACCGAAUGACUAUUUCCAACUGCCCGCCUGUAUCUACAAGUAUGCCUCCAACUGGCUAGACGACUUCCCAAUGGACGACACACAUAGGUUACAUGAAGACAUACCAAGUCGUUGAGGGCUUCAAUAACUGGCUACCUAACUUAAGCGUGGACUGCGAAGAUGUUGACGAUGUCUAAGUAACUUCCGAUAUCAGGGACGCUAUAUGCUACGGGUCUCGGACAACGUACCUCUCACUAAAAGCUAUAAACUACUCAUAGAAUGACACAAACGACAUUGGACAACUACAUACCCAGUUCGGCUUUAAAAGUAAGCGGCCUUUAAAUCCCCAAUACUGGGUAAAAUUAAUCAAUGUAUGCCUAACUGGCUCAAUAUCAC